rnacentral:lncRNA from 1 species
CAAAAUGAGUUUACAAUUAUGUUUCAUUAUUAUUAUUAUUAUUAUACAAUAAAAAAUUCGCAUUUGUCGAAUAAAAAAAAAAAAAAAAAGAAAACUGUUUUCUCUGCAUUUGGAGUGUGUUUAAUGCUUUAUGACAGACUAUAAUGGGGAAAGAAAAUUUGUUGUCGGUAUUUUAAAGUUCACCAUCCGUGUAACGAGAGGAGUAGUCUGGAAGGUAUAUUAUACAGUUUUGAACAAAUUCACAUCGUCAAAUUGACACUGCUGAAAGUCAAGGUUACUUAACAAAGCCCCGAGUCCAGUCGAACGAGUUUUCAGAACUCAUCUCCGUCUAGUUGGAUGACCUUCGAGAUCCCGCAUGCUUCUCUUCACUGCGAUGCCGAAAUUCAGAUAGCUAUAGUUAUUCUUGUCCAGUCAAUUGUGAUAUAACGUUGGUCGGAAUAGUUCGAUUGGCAAGGAUGCACAAUAACACGCACCGAGAUGAGGUAAGAAUUGAUGACGAUCAAAACUUUUCACUCCUACCAGUUUGUAAUCAUUUUUUUUAUAUAUAUGAAAAUAAUAAUUUUUCUCCCCUCUUGGGACGGUUUGAAAGAUUUUCCUUAACCAUAUUUUGGAAUCGCAUCGAUAAAACGAUAAAAAAAAUUUUUUUUGGGAUUAUGGAAAUGAGAAAUUUCGGGAAUAAACAGGACAACGUAGGUCGAUAACCUCUUCUUGUUUCUUUGGCCAAGCUGGUUUUUAUUUUCGUUCCCCGGGGAAAGAAGAACGUAAGCACAAGGUCAAAGUGAAAUCAGAAUUAUGCUUUAUCUCAGUAUAUGACAUUAAAGGUGUUUUUAGCUUUUUUUAUUUUGGGAAAAGAAUUUCAGGUGAUAUAAAACACGACCAUAAAUAGCACUUCUUUAAAGCGGAUAGGAACAAGUUUAUAAAGAAAUUUAGUUAACAGACAUAUAUUCCAGAAUAAGAUAAUUUAAUGGUUUUUGUACUCUUGUAAUACUAUGUUGGUGAAUCUGUUCAAGAGAACUGUAUGGGAUCUAUCGAUUCUGAUGAAUCGGUGUAAAAAAUGAUUAGAAUGAUACGAUUCGUAUCCUUCGUCUUUUUAUUAGCAGAUUAAGUGUACGUAUAUUCAGUUGGUAUUAAAAGUUUAAAUAGAAUCGAGAUAGUUAUGGACUAAAUUUACUUUUUCUCUGUCCAGCAGUGUAGGAAAACACGUUAAGCAUUGAGCGCAGUUUUCCUAAUACAGUAUACGUUUCCCUGGCAAUUCAAAUGAAUCAACAAAGUCUUCAGAAUAAGUAAUUCAGUUUUAGGUGAAAGUAAUAAUAAAAUGCUGAUCAUUAUUUUUAUAACCUGACGAAUG